rnacentral:lncRNA from 1 species
GUGGGUGUUGCAACUUGGUUCACUUGGGUGUGUCCCUUGAGUUCUAGGACCUCUAUCCCAUGGAUCAAAGAUGCAAAUUUAGCCUCUUCAACUAGGAAAGGUUGAACUUGAUAUAUACCUCCUCUUGAAGGUGUGAGUCUAUCGGGUUCCCUAGUAAUUUCUUAUUGUAGGCUCUUUUCUACUAGGUCCUCUAGAAAUUACCAGACUUCUAUAGGCUCUUUGUUUAUGAAUUGAUCUUGACACAUUGAUUCUAACAUGGUUCUAGAGUUUGGAUCUAGUCCU